CCCUAAGGCGAGGCCGAAAGGCGUAGUCGAUGGGAAACGGGUUAAUAUUCCCGUACUUGGUGUUACUGCGAAGGGGGGACGGAGAAGGCUAUGUUGGCCGGGCGACGGUUGUCCCGGUUUAAGCGUGUAGGUGUGUGUUCCAGGUAAAUCCGGUUCACUUUAACACUGAGGCGUGACGACGAGGCACUACGGUGCUGAAGCAACAAAUGCCCUGCUUCCAGGAAAAGCCUCUAAGCAUCAGGUAACAUCAAAUCGUACCCCAAACCGACACAGGUGGUCAGGUAGAGAAUACCAAGGCGCUUGAGAGAACUCGGGUGAAGGAACUAGGCAAAAUGGUGCCGUAACUUCGGGAGAAGGCACGCUGACACGUAGGUGAAGUGAUUUACUCAUGGAGCUGAAGUCAGUCGAAGAUACCAGCUGGCUGCAACUGUUUAUUAAAAACACAGCACUGUGCAAACACGAAAGUGGACGUAUACGGUGUGACGCCUGCCCGGUGCCGGAAGGUUAAUUGAUGGGGUCAGCGCAAGCGAAGCUCCUGAUCGAAGCCCCGGUAAACGGCGGCCGUAACUAUAACGGUCCUAAGGUAGCGAAAUUCCUUGUCGGGUAAGUUCCGACCUGCACGAAUGGCGUAAUGAUGGCCAGGCUGUCUCCACCCGAGACUCAGUGAAAUUGAACUCGCUGUGAAGAUGCAGUGUACCCGCGGCAAGACGGAAAGACCCCGUGAACCUUUACUAUAGCUUGACACUGAACAUUGAGCCUUGAUGUGUAGGAUAGGUGGGAGGCUUUGAAGUGUGGACGCCAGUCUGCAUGGAGCCGACCUUGAAAUACCACCCUUUAAUGUUUGAUGUUCUAACGUGGACCCGUUACCCGGGUUGCGGACAGUGUCUGGUGGGUAGUUUGACUGGGGCGGUCUCCUCCUAAAGAGUAACGGAGGAGCACGAAGGUUGGCUAAUCCUGGUCGGACAUCAGGAGGUUAGUGCAAUGGCAUAAGCCAGCUUGACUGCGAGCGUGACGGCGCGAGCAGGUGCGAAAGCAGGUCAUAGUGAUCCGGUGGUUCUGAAUGGAAGGGCCAUCGCUCAACGGAUAAAAGGUACUCCGGGGAUAACAGGCUGAUACCGCCCAAGAGUUCAUAUCGACGGCGGUGUUUGGCACCUCGAUGUCGGCUCAUCACAUCCUGGGGCUGAAGUAGGUCCCAAGGGUAUGGCUGUUCGCCAUUUAAAGUGGUACGCGAGCUGGGUUUAGAACGUCGUGAGACAGUUCGGUCCCUAUCUGCCGUGGGCGCUGGAGAACUGAGGGGGGCUGCUCCUAGUACGAGAGGACCGGAGUGGACGCAUCACUGGUGUUCGGGUUGUCAUGCCAAUGGCACUGCCCGGUAGCUAAAUGCGGAAGAGAUAAGUGCUGAAAGCAUCUAAGCACGAAACUUGCCCCGA
rnacentral:rRNA from 1 species